rnacentral:rRNA from 1 species
UGCUAUCUGCAGUCGAGCGGACAGAGGGGAGCUUGCUCCCGGAUGUUAGCGGCGGACGGGUGAGUAACACGUGGGUAACCUGCCUGUAAGACUGGGAUAACUCCGGGAAACCGGAGCUAAUACCGGAUAGUUCCUUGAACCGCAUGGUUCAAGGAUGAAAGACGGUUUCGGCUGUCACUUACAGAUGGACCCGCGGCGCAUUAGCUAGUUGGUGAGGUAACGGCUCACCAAGGCAACGAUGCGUAGCCGACCUGAGAGGGUGAUCGGCCACACUGGGACUGAGACACGGCCCAGACUCCUACGGGAGGCAGCAGUAGGGAAUCUUCCGCAAUGGACGAAAGUCUGACGGAGCAACGCCGCGUGAGUGAUGAAGGUUUUCGGAUCGUAAAGCUCUGUUGUUAGGGAAGAACAAGUGCAAGAGUAACUACUUGCACCUUGACGGUACCUAACCAGAAAGCCACGGCUAACUACGUGCCAGCAGCCGCGGUAAUACGUAGGUGGCAAGCGUUGUCCGGAAUUAUUGGGCGUAAAGGGCUCGCAGGCGGUUUCUUAAGUCUGAUGUGAAAGCCCCCGGCUCAACCGGGGAGGGUCAUUGGAAACUGGGAAACUUGAGUGCAGAAGAGGAGAGUGGAAUUCCACGUGUAGCGGUGAAAUGCGUAGAGAUGUGGAGGAACACCAGUGGCGAAGGCGACUCUCUGGUCUGUAACUGACGCUGAGGAGCGAAAGCGUGGGGAGCGAACAGGAUUAGAUACCCUGGUAGUCCACGCCGUUAAACGAUGAGUGCUAAGUGUUAGGGGGUUUCCGCCCCUUAGUGCUGCAGCUAACGCAUUAAGCACUCCGCCUGGGGAGUA